CGGGUAGUCCCACAUCCCCCGCGCCUGGAGGGCCUAAUCACCGAAGGUGCUGAUGAGGGGAUAUGUGUUGCAGCGGACAGGGAUUGAGAGUGCAGGGGAGCGGUGUGAAGGGGUCGGGGUUUGGCAAAGGUGGAAGUGAAGGCGUGUCUCCUAGGCCAGGUGUGAUCAUGGAAGAUGCCACCAUUGAGUUGGGUCCCCUGGUUUUACUGGAGAUGAUGAGGCCAAGUGGCAGCACUUAAUUAUUAAAGCAACACUGAGCAGUGCUGGUUUGAAGGUCUGCUUCCUCAGGGUGUGAAUGCUUACACAAGGACUAUGUCUGGAACCAAAAGGAUUUUCUCAGGUGCCUCUUGGUACUUUGUGUCCAGUAAAAAAAAAACAUAAAGAAAACUACAAAAGCAGCAACAACAAAACAGCAGAAUGAUGAAUAACUUGGAUUAAGAAUGAAGAUUUGUGUUGUACCGUCAGGUAAAGAAGUCAGUGAACUGAGGUUCUGGCUAAGGGCAAGGGAAAUAUGGAAGAAGCCACCUGUGAUGUUAUAACCAAUAACAGAAACAAAGACUGUAUGAGCUUUGUAUGUUUUCUCUUUGCUAGCUAUAUGUAUGUGUUUUGUACAUGAAAGAAUGAAUUUGGAAAGAAGAGCUUGGCUGACUUUUUAUAUCCAAUAAGACGCAUAAGAAUGCCAUUUUCCAUGGAGAAUAUCUGACUGUUGACAAUGUUUAUAAUUCCAGGGAAGUGAAAAGAGCAACUUUCCUCUAUAAUGUAAUUAUGUACUUUCUACAUCUAUGGUAACAAUACCUUAGUUUGAUUAUAGGUAUUUGUUUAGCGAUAGUCAGUUGGCCCUAGGCUAUAGUUCUAGAGGGUUUGGAAAAUCUCCCACAUCAGAGGUGGAAGCAGUGGAAGGAAAACAACAACAAAGGAUCAUGAUAAAGGACUCUGCUGUUACUCAAUGGAGAUACUAAUGCUAUGGAAACCAGCCAUAGGAAAUAAGCCAUUUGGGGAUGGUGUAAAGAGCAGGCUAUAAUGAAACCACUUAUAAUAUGUAAGCUGGAUGCAGAGAACUCCAAGACCCUAGAAAAUGAUGACGCCCCUAGAUGGAAGGAGCCUCAGAUCCUGAAUGACGGGUAGAGAGGGGAGGGAAAAGUAAACCUUUAUGUGUUAAGCCACUGAGAUUUGGGAGUGGCAUGUUUCAGCAGGUAGCUUACCUUGACUGACACAUCUAGUAACUAAGUUCUUUAAUUCAAGUAGACAUAGACGUUCCUUUUCCUAACCAAAAGUAUUGAUUCAUAACAUCCACAUAUAUUUCUCACUAGCUCUUAAGACGUAUCAAAAUGGUAAUGUGGUGUCAGGUUCAGUCAUAGCUUCUGAAAACUUCCCACCAUUUCUCAACCUCAGUUUAAAAUCAACUUGAUCUUUCGAUAACAGAAAUCUACAACAUAUUUCUCAAUCAAAAUGAAGACAUUCGGCAUGUACUAGCAGAACCAAUUCAAACUGGAACAAAGAUGGGGCGAGUGGACAUUGCCUUUUCCUCCAAGGGUUGGUUUGACAUCUUAUAAUCACUUUAUAUAACAGCCAUUCUCCCAGUAAAAAGUGAAAAACCAGAGGAAGAGGUCUUGCUUCAUCCAACUCCACUGAUUUUGGCUUUGAGAGAAUACAGCUUUAAGAAGGUAUUCCCGGGAAUAUCCCAGGAACUCUAUCCGCCCCCUCAGAAUAGUAGGCAAUUGAGUUAGUGAUGGUGACUCAGGCAGGCUUUUUCAUCCUGAUCUAAAGGAACCACUACAACCCUAGAGAGAGAAAUAAAAAGGGAAUCGAGUGGAAAAGGCCUCCACCACCGAUGACUCAUGCUCUACUGUGACUCGCCUGGUACAUCACUCUGUGGCUAAGACAUGGAGGCUUGGUUCAUUAGUCACUUCAGUGAUUUUUUCAAAGCAAGGAUUCUCCCUCUAAAUAAUCAUGAGCUCUGCUUCCACAGUGUUUGUAUGUGAGCUUGUGACUCACCUUUCCACCAUGCCAGGCAGUACCAAUUGUGUCAUCUGCAAGAGAGAAAGCAAAACAUUCAUGAUGGCCAAGGAUGCAGGCAACAGAAAAAGAGUGAAGAAAACUCACCCACACUAAAAAGAAGGGAAUCAUGAAACCAUUCACCACUUCUACAGACAGCAGGUUAUUUUCUGUACACUGUAGAAUGUGACUGUGUCAAGAGGGCAUAAAAAGGAACCAGCUGAAAUUACUGGAGAGAACACAGGGAAUACUUUAAUGAACCUGGCUAAAAUUAGUCUUGCCUGAAAUGUAAUACUGGCACAGAGUUCUUCAAACAAUGAAGGAUUUACAGUGAAAAUCUACAUUUCCCAAAAUGCAUUCUCAGAAAAGAAUAUAUGUUAUCAGAAGAAAUAUCCUGCCUACCAAGAUGACUUAAGCUUUCUAACCUCAAGAGCUCACAUAAACUUUUCCAGCCAAAAAAAGUCUUUAAAAGAAUACGAUAAAGUGGUAGGUUGGCAAAGAGUAAGUGUAACUUCACAUUCAUUUCUCUUGUUGGUCUAGUUAGCUGUAAGUAAAACUCAUCCUUAAAGAGAGUUAAGAUGUGAUCUCUAGUAACCAACAUGAAAAGGUGACAUCUGCAUUUUUUAAGGACUCCAUAAUUGUUGACUAAAUACAUAUAAUGAGAGGGGCUAUUUUUAAACUCUGUUUUGAUAUAUUAUUAACCAAGAAAAGUUCAGAAGUCCAAUGGUUUAGUCAAAAUCACCUCACAGUUAAAUACCGAGGCUGUAACGUGAAUUUCUGACUCCUGGAUAUCAUCAAUUCUCUAAGAAACAGAUGCUGUUUUGUAAUAAUAAGGUUUCAAUGCAUGCUAAGCAUAGAAAUUUUGUUGUUUCUAUCUUGAAUAAUACUUCAUAUUAAUUAAAGUAGACAGCAUUCUGAUGAGAAGGGAAUUUUGUUUUCCUAGAAAUAUUCUGAAGAAAUAAAAUGCCAGCCAGAUUUAACAAGGUAAAUUCUGCUAUGUGAACAUCCAAUCCAGAUGUAUUAUGAACAGCUUUGUAUGGUAGUACAGAUGUACAUCAGGCAUAUUAACAGUGGUGGGUAUUUUAUUGUAAAGGAUAGAUUAUACAAAACCCUAACAGUAUUUGAAAACUUUUUUUUUUUUAUUUAGCACAUUUCAUCAGGGACCAUAAUGCUUAGCUAAAGUAUUAUAAAGAGUUCCCCCAGCAUUUUGUGAAGGGAAGCUAUAAUUCAGUUCUCCAAAGUUCUGAGAUCACCAGAAACAGAAUAAGGAAGGAGACUGGUAAUAAAAAUGUCUUUACCCA
rnacentral:lncRNA from 1 species